ACCUCUUCCGAUUAACCCAAUUGC
rnacentral:siRNA from 1 species